CAGACAAUGCUCAUUCUUCGCGUGAUAUGUCGCCAUUAUACCAUAUCCGCAAGUUUGAACGUCAAAGCCUUCAUCCUGUAAUUCUCGGAUUAGUGGCAGGCUUCCUGUAAUAGAAUAGGGCUUUACAUAGCCAACUACUUCCUUAGUUGCUUUGCACAAGACAUUAAAGCCACGGGAUUCAAGAUUACAAGCAACUCCAGACAUUACAUCCUCGUCAACACUGAUUGUUAGCCUUCCCCUUAAGUUUUCGUCUGGAAGAAUGUAUUUUGACACCGG
rnacentral:misc_RNA from 1 species